CUGUUCCCUGUGAUUGGCUGGCAAGCAGUUCAGAGUGUACCCUGCCUCCUGCCUGUUGACAGCUCCAGCACUCCUGCAACCCUUGUGAGGAAAAGCAGUUAAGAAAAUGGAUGGGACACCAUUUCCAGCAAGACAGCAGCUCUGCUUGGGUUGACACCGGUGUUGCUGCCUGGAGGCAAACACUGGUUGGAUUUUGGAUGGCCACCAAAACACCUUGAGCUGGCCACCUCAUACAAGUAAUUCCAGGCUCAAGAAACUGGGAGGAUUUUCAGGAUAUCCGCAGUGCGGGGGGAGUGAUGUUAGUGAAUAGAAAAUACAUCCACACGAACACGAGAAACAAAGCAACCUAAAGAGAGAGAGCAGACAGCAUCUAACAACUGCAGCCGCAAAGCAAAUAUGACUUACCGGCAGCGAGGUGACCGGAGAAGAAGAGCAAAGGAGAAGAGGACCCGUUGCCUGCUGGUGGAACUAACAGCAGCGAUUUUUUAUUUUCUCUUUCUCCCUCAUUCCUUCGUCGUUCAAAGUAACGUCUACUCGACGGGCACGUGAUGUGUGGAACAGUAAUCGAGUCUACCCCGAAAACAUCUCAUCCCCCACAAAAUUACUUGUAGGUUAUUAAAACAUGAACCGGCAUGAACAAUUUAGUAAAAAAAAAAAAAAGUGGCAGUGGCGCUAGCAGCAUCUCACCGUCUGGUCGGCGACUCAGUCGUUGCAAUCCCACUGCCUGUUUUGGCAGCUCCUCACCGGCUCAAGCCGGUAUUUAAACGCGAGCGCGCAAAUCUCUCAGUCAUGAACGGGCAGAGCUCAGUGAUC